CGGGAGGCAGCAGUGGGGAAUAUUGCACAAUGGGCGCAAGCCUGAUGCAGCCAUGCCGCGUGUGUGARGAAGGCCUUCGGGUUGUAAAGCACUUUCAGUCGUGAGGAAGGURGUGURGUUAAUAGCUGCAUUAUUUGACGUUAGCGACAGAAGAAGCACCGGCUAACUCCGUGCCAGCAGCCGCGGUAAUACGGAGGGUGCGAGCGUUAAUCGGAAUUACUGGGCGUAAAGCGCAUGCAGGUGGUUUGUUAAGUCAGAUGUGAAAGCCCGGGGGCUCAACCUCGGAAUAGCAUUUGAAACUGGCAGACUAGAGUACUGUAGAGGGGGUAGAAWUUUCAGGUGUAGCGGUGAAAUGCGUAGAGAUCUGAAGGAAUACCGGUGGCGAAGSCGGCCCCCUGGACAGAUACUGACACUCAGAUGCGAAAGCGUGGGGGAGCAAACAGGAUUAGAUACCCUGGGUAGUCCACGCCGUAAACGAUGUCUACUUGGAGGUUGUGGCCUUGAGCCGUGGCUUUCGGAGCUAACGCGU
rnacentral:rRNA from 1 species